rnacentral:misc_RNA from 1 species
GUGGAAGGGGGCUUGCUCCCGAUGGCGAUGGGUCAGUCACCAGAUGCAGUGACUGACACUCUGACAUCGGGAGCAAGCCCCCUCCCAC